UUGCCUUCGUCCCCGAUCCCUCUCCCUUUCCCUCGUCCGCCGCCGCCGCCGCCAUUCACCGCAGCCCGCCGCCACAGCCGCCGCCGCCACCACCAGAGCCCACCCUAACAGCCUGCAACCCAGCCCUCUCUCCCCGCGCUCAUAUUAUCCCCACCACCAGUGAGCUCAUCCCCUUCACCUUGCCCCAGAUUGAGCAGCAGGUUCGGAUCCAUGGCCACGGCGGUGUGAGUGCCCCAAUGUAGAUUCAAGACGCUUGAGGUCGGUGCUCAUUGCGGCUCUUACUCUCGUGCCGACGCCAUGGACGAGGAGAGCAUCUCUCUCUCUGAUCGUGAAGCAGCCCCAAUCCUAGCCCUUCUUUGGCCAUGGCGACUGAGCAGGCAGGAGGUACGAACCCCUCCUCGCCUCCCAAAACCAACUCCUGGAUUUCCUGUUGAUGACAGAGGAACAAGGAUGACAGUCAUUCAGUACUUGAAGGACAUAUACAACUGCAAUCUGCGUAUUUUAUUCAACUACAUGAUUGACCAACACUCUUUUCUAUGGCAUGGCAGCAGCUUUUGGUUCUGGCGCUCUAUUCUCCAUUGUUGGCAGAAAUUCUCAAAGACAAAGACACACAAUGAAGAUAUGAACUAUUCUGAAAUAUGUUGAACCAAUUAGGACUUCAAAACUAUGAAAAGAAUUUCAAGAAGGGUCUUCUGACUGAUGAAACAUUGCCUUUUAUCAAUGAAAGGUACAUGUUUUUAAUAUUCCAUUGAGUUCCUGCAAUUACGGAAAAGAAUCAAUCUUUUCUAUAACAAAAUGGCUGUAUGCUUACUGAAAUUUACCAUUCAAAAGUACAUAUGUCUUGCAUUAUCCUCCAGUGCACUCAGAGUUAUGAAUAUCGCCCUUGUUCCAAGGCUUGUCAUACUUGAUCACAUUAAAAGAUUUGGAAUUAUUGCAUAAAUUUCCAGUUUCUGGUGCAUUAGUUUCCUUUAUCUAAUAUCCUUUUUUGCAAUUUUGCAAAGAACCUGGGUUGAUAAAAUCAAAUUGAAGUGAUUGUUUGUCUGUUGGCACCAGUUUUUUCUCAAGUUACAUAAACUAUGUUCUGGGAAGUCGGUCCAUUCUAGCUCUUAAAUUUUGUAGAUGUCUCUUACUUAGUUUGAUGUUAUGCACAUAUUGUUCGAUGUCGCUUGUGUUCAGGGUUUCUAUUGGGCACAUAAAAAUAAAGGAUGACGCAUGACACAUUUUAGGUGUACAUUUAUUUCAUAGAUUGAAAGACAGCGGUUGUUUUAGAUGGAGAUGUAUCGGUGAUGCGAUCUCCCUGGUUUGCUGCAUCUAUAGUUAGAGAGUAGUCUGCGCCUCUUCAUCGGGCAUCCUCUGGAGCUUCCCCGAGGUGACAAGUGCUUCCCACGGUGUCUCUCUCUGUUCUUAUUGCUACUGCACACAAGCUACUGACCUUGCAGACCAGGACAUACAUCCUGGUGAGCUCCUUGGUCCUUGACUGGUCCAUCACCGAGGUAUGUAUUCACCACUGACUUCUCUCAGAUCAUAUGCAUGCUCCUUAUAAUCUAGGGAUUAUAGUUCUUCAAAAUAACUGUAUUAUCGGGCCGUGAGGGACCGCUGUUGCUAUAGUCUUUGCAUAGAGCUAGAGAAAACAUAUGAGUUCGACAACUUGCGUUGAGGGAAACUGAUGCAAGCGAAGUGUAUAUACGUCACCAGAAAUUUCCAAAGCAUCGGAUGUUCUGAGAUUGAUCAGGUACAGUCAAAGAGAACAGGGUCACCUGUGGUAUGAUUUGGCUUGGCUCACACACCCCAGGCUUUGACACGUGGAGACCAAGCAUCCAAUUAACCUGACAAGGCUCAGUUCUGGCUAAUAUGCAACACAUGGAUGCAGAUCAAUUCAACUAAACACAUGCUCCCUAAGCCGCGGAACUCGCGAGUGACAAGGAAACAGUUGCUGCCACCUCGCUCCAGAUCGAGCAGCAGGUCUGAGCCACGGUGGCGAGAGCGGCCCGAUGUGCAGGUUCAAGCUGCGUGAAGAGGGAGGGGGUGCUCGCUAUGGCUCUGACCAUGGAGCCAACCCCAUGGACAAGGAAGCUACUGAAUUAGGUAAGAAGGCCAAGGAAUUGAAGAAGGCAUCGGAAGCCCUUCACCAAGAAGAGAGAAGUGGGAACAAAGGCAGAAAAUGGCGCAAAAACAUGAAGGCUGUCGAGAAGGCUGAGGCUACCUGGGCUUUUACAUUGCUUGAUUACAUUGGAAAACUCAUAUUCGGCAUUGUUGGAUUAAUUGUAUCGAUUGCUUGGGUAGCACAUAUUAUCAUAUAAUUGUAUCUUCUUUCCCGAAUGAGAUCUUCAUAAAGAUGGACAGUGUUUGGGGUCUGCUUGGGACUGCUGCUUUUGCAUUCUUCUGCUAUCUCCUCAUCGCAGUGAUUGCUGGAGAAAUGAUGCUUGGCCUGAAAUUAGUUUUCAUCAGCAUUCACCCAAUAUGGGGAGGAACGUUGAUGAACUCUUUUUUGUUUAAUGUUGGACUGAUCCUACUUUGUUCCAUCAGUGUGAUUCAGUUCUGCGAGACAGCUUUUGCGUACUAUGCACAAGCAACUGCAGCUCAGGAGAUUUUUGGCCACACGCUGCAGUCUCUUCAUGGAAUUAAUUAAGUAUCUCUACAAAUGGUGCAAGUACAAAAGGUGCAGAAGAUUGUAUGCCUGAGUGAUGCUUGCUUAACCAAACUUAAUUUCUUACUAAGAUGGAUUAAGCCUAAGUGGAGGAGCAGGAUUGAUGUGUGCAAGCUAGAAGCUAAAAUUUGAACUGAGAUAUGUUAUUAUUCAUGCUUGCACUUUCUCAUAUAUUUUAGUUUAUAGGAAGAAUAAUAGCAGAACCA